GCAAGUCGAACGCGAAAGGGACUUCGGUCCUGAGUAAAGUGGCGCACGGGUGAGUAACGCGUAGAUAACCUGUCUUCAUGUCUGGAAUAAUACGCCGAAAGGGGUACUAAUACCGGAUAUUCUUGCUUUUCAUAAGUUAUGCAAGCAAAGGUGGCCUCUGCAUAUGCUACUGCAUGAAGAGGGGUCUGCGUACCAUUAGCUAGUAGGUGGGGUAAUGGCCUACCUAGGCGACGAUGGUUAGCGGGUCUGAGAGGAUGAUCCGCCACACUGGCACUGGAACACGGGCCAGACUCCUACGGAGGCAGCAGUGAGGAAUAUUGCGCAAUGGGGGAAACCCUGACGCAGCGACGCCGCGUGAGUGAAGGAAGGCCUUCGGGUCGUAAAGCUCUGUCAAGAGGAAAGAAGUGUACAAUGGCUAAUACCUGUUGUAUUUGACGGUACCUCUAAAGGAAGCACCGGCUAACUCCGUGCCAGCAGCCGC
rnacentral:rRNA from 1 species